rnacentral:lncRNA from 10 species
AAUAACUCAGUUGGCUCAGUGCCCUGGCUCACACCUGCAAUCCCAGAACUUUGGUAGGCUGAGGCUGGUGGAUCACUGGAGCCAAGUAGUUCAAGACCAGCCUGGGCAACAUAGCAUGACUCUUUCUACUAAAAAACAAAAAAAAUUAACUGGGUUUGGUGACAUGUGCUUGUAGUCCUAGCAACUCAGGAGGACUGAUGGGACGAAUCCUUGAGCCCAGAAAUUUGAGGUUACAGUGAGCUAUGAUCACACCACUCAAGCCUGGGUGACUGAGACCAUGUCACUAAAAAAAGAAAAAAAACUAAAGAUGAAAUUGUGUCAGUUACUGUGUGCUUCAGCAGUCAUAUAACUUGUGUUUCAGCUUUGCAAAAUAUUCUAUAUUUGUUCUUUAUUUUAGAAGUCUGGGCCAACGGUCACAAAAGUUGUCACUGUUGUGACAACCAAAAAAGCAGUUGUGGAUUCUGAUAAGAAGAAAGGUGAGCUGAUGGAGAAUGACCAGGAUGCCAUGGAGUAUUCUUCAGAGGAGGAAGAAGUUGAUCUUCA